rnacentral:rRNA from 1 species
UACAGAGGAGCCAAGCGUUGUCCGGAUUGACUGGGCGUAAAGCGCACGCAGGCGGACGCGCGCGUGGGGUGUGAAAUCUGGCCGCUUAACGGCCAGGCGCCAUCCCAUACGGCGCGUCUGGAGCAAUGCAGAGGUCGGUGGAAUUGCCGGUGUAGUGGUGAAAUGCGUAGAGAUCGGCAGGAACACCCAGGGGGAAACCAGCCGACUGGGCAUCGACUGACGCUGAUGUGCGAGAGCGUGGGGAGCGAACCGG